rnacentral:rRNA from 1 species
AACGAACGCUGGCGGCAUGCCUAACACAUGCAAGUCGAACGAGACCUUCGGGUCUAGUUGCGCACGGGUGCGUAACGCGUGGGAACCUGCCCUUAGGUUCGGAAUAACUCCCCGAAAGGGGUGCUAAUACCGGAUAAUGUCUUCGGACCAAAGAUUUAUCGCCUUUGGAUGGGCCCGCGUUGGAUUAGCUAGUUGGUAGGGUAAAAGCCUACCAAGGCGACGAUCCAUAGCUGGUCUGAGAGGAUGAUCAGCCACGCUGGGACUGAGACACGGCCCAGACUGCUACGGGAGGCAGCAGUGGGGAAUAUUGGACAAUGGGCGAAAGCCUGAUCCAGCAAUGCCGCGUGAGUGAUGAAGGCCUUAGGGUUGUAAAGCUCUUUUACCCGGGAUGAUAAUGACAGUACCGGGAGAAUAAGCUCCGGCUAACUCCGUG